rnacentral:lncRNA from 1 species
AUGCCCCUUCCUGCUGCAGGGACUUUGAAUUUGCUGUGUCUUCUGCUGAGAACAUUCCCUCUGAAGAUUCAGAACCCUUUAUACUACUCCAACACCAAAUAUUUAAUCUGUCAAUCUAAUCUUGGAUAUUUGAAAUCUUCUCCAUACAUAUCAUGAGAUAUUCUUCACCAGAAUAAGCUUUUGUUUCACUACCAAGAGGUUUGGCCUCCUCUCCAGCCUGUGACUACUGGGAAGACAGGGCACCUGUCCUAUUCACCUUUGUAUCUCUGGUGUCUCACUCAGGAUCCGGCACAGUGCUUGCCAAGGACCUGCUAUGCGCCAGGGGCUGCUGGAGCUGGGAACCUAAUGAUCACAGUGUCAGCCUCUGCCAGCCUUUGUGUGUGUGGCAGGGGUUGUUUUGAGUCCCACCAUCUUCCAUCCCUGAUGCUUGGAGAAGCUGAGGACACACAGGGGUGUACAGGGAGCAUGGUGCCAGCAUCUGCUUCUGAUGAGGCCUCAGGAAGCUUCCAAUCAUGGCAAAACGUGAAGUGGGAGCAGACACAUCACAUGGUUGAAUGGCGUCUCACCUGCUGACUAUACGAGUCUGAUGGGAAAAGCACGCUGCUUCCUCCAUUCCCAGCGGGAUCAAAUACACUGAGCGCAUCACCCAGCCUUGUAGCCUUCCGCAUCCUGGGGAGAGGGGUCCCAGCCAGCACUCGUGGUGAGAACAGAGCUCCCUCUCGGGACCCCGUUAUGCUGACCCUGGCUUCCACUUCUAGGAGAAAUAAAGCAUAGAAAGUCCUG